UCUUAAUUAAGGGGUUUAAGAGCCCCUAAGAGGCAGUGACGUGUUCGAUAUUUACUGGGUGAGAAAAAAAUUGUCUGUUUUGCUUCUCUCUCUUUCGCGACGACGCUUUCUCUCUUUCUCAACUCUCUGUAUCGACUCUUUCUUAUUGAGAAUCUGAGUAGAAUCAAGCUGCUUUAGCCAGAUUCUUACAAACCCUAAUCCAAUUCCCUAAUUCUCCGUUUCUCCCUCAAUGUUCUGUUUUGAGGUUAAAAACGCAUCUUUACUGAGAACUCGAAUUGCUCCUUUUCAAUUCAACCAAAUUCGGUCCAAACCCCUUGAUUUGUCUGCUCAGUCCAGUUUCUUGAACGCUUUGGUAGUGAAUGUGAUAUAGCCAUUCACUAACUAAUGAAGCACAGGGAUUGUUGUUGUCUUGCAUCCGUGAUCCAUAUCUCGUUGUCUUCUUCGAACCAAAGGCUGCAUAUUUUGGUGAGUAAGCGUGAAGAAAGGAAACUUGAGGCAGCUUGAAGGAGACAAGACACAAAAUCUUUGUCCUGAAUGUGUUUAUCAAGCGUCUGCUCCCAAAUGCUUGAUGGAAUGUGUAAAGUGGAUUUGAAUGAUUGUUUUGAAUCUCUUUGCUUAUAGUCAUGAAUCUCUGUUUUUUUUUUUUUUGUCAAUGAAUCUAUGUUUUGCAUUUGACAAGUUUUUGAUGUGAAUAUGAGCUCUUCAAAAUAAAUUCUUAAGAACC